AACGAACGCUGGCGGCAGGCCUAACACAUGCAAGUCGAGCGGACCCUCCGGGGUUAGCGGCGGACGGGUGAGUAACGCGUGGGAAUAUGCCCUUCUCUACGGAAUAGUCCUGGGAAACUGGGGGUAAUACCGUAUACGCCCUUUGGGGGAAAGAUUUAUCGGGGAAGGAUUAGCCCGCGUUGGAUUAGGUAGUUGGUGGGGUAAUGGCCUACUAAGCCGACGAUUCAUAGAUGGUUUGAGAGGAUGAUCAGCCACACUGGGACUGGGCCACGGCCCAGACUCCUACGGGAGGCAGCAGUGGGGAAUCGUAGACAAUGGGGGCAACCCUGAUCUAGCCAUGCCGCGUGAGUGAUGAAGGCCUUAGGGUUGUAAAGCUCUUUCAGCUGGGAAGAUAAUGACGGUACCAGCAGAAGAAGCCCCGGCUAACUCCGUG
rnacentral:rRNA from 1 species